rnacentral:rRNA from 1 species
GGGUUGUGAGGUUAAGCGACUAAGCGUACACGGUGGAUGCCCUGGCAGUCAGAGGCGAUGAAGGGCGUGCUAAUCUGCGAUAAGCGCCGGUAAGGUGAUAUGAACCGUUAUAACCGGCGAUACCCGAAUGGGGAAACCCAGUGUGAUUCGUCACACUAUCAUUAACUGAAUCCAUAGGUUAAUGAGGCGAACCGGGGGAACUGAAACAUCUAAGUACCCCGAGGAAAAGAAAUCAACCGAGAUUCCCCCAGUAGCGGCGAGCGAACGGGGAGGAGCCCAGAGCCUGAAUCAGCAUGUGUGUUAGUGGAAGCGUCUGGAAAGGCGCGCGAUACAGGGUGACAGCCCCGUACACAAAAGCGCAUGUGCUGUGAGCUCGAUGAGUAGGGCGGGACACGUGGUAUCCUGUCUGAAUAUGGGGGGACCAUCCUCCAAGGCUAAAUACUCCUGACUGACCGAUAGUGAACCAGUACCGUGAGGGAAAGGCGAAAAGAACCCCGGCGAGGGGAGUGAAAAAGAACCUGAAACCGUGUACGUACAAGCAGUGGGAGCACAGGUUUACCUGUGUGACUGCGUACCUUUUGUAUAAUGGGUCAGCGACUUAUAUUCUGUAGCAAGGUUAACCGUAUAGGGGAGCCGAAGGGAAACCGAGUCUUAACCGGGCGUUAAGUUGCAGGGUAUAGACCCGAAACCCGGUGAUCUAGCCAUGGGCAGGUUGAAGGUUGGGUAACACUAACUGGAGGACCGAACCGACUAAUGUUGAAAAAUUAGCGGAUGACCUGUGGCUGGGGGUGAAAGGCCAAUCAAACCGGGAGAUAGCUGGUUCUCCCCGAAAGCUAUUUAGGUAGCGCCUCGUGAAUUCAUCUCCGGGGGUAGAGCACUGUUUCGG